ensembl:piRNA 21ur-694 ncRNA
UAUUCUCCAUCUGACGUUAUG